GUCAGGUGGUUGCGGGAGGGAGAUAUCCCACUCCUUCAGGAGUCUUGUGCCUUCUUCGCUGUUUGUGAUGUGGCGGUCUGUGCCAUUCCGCCGAACAAUUAGGCGGGCUGGAAAGCCCCAUCUGUAUAGAAUGUUGGCCUCUCUCAGGGCUCUUGUGAUGGGAGUAAGCUCUCUCCGUUUCGACAGCGUGGAGGCGGAGAGAUCUGUGAACAAGUGGACACCUUUAAAUUUUUCCGGCAGAUCGACGGUGCGCCUGGAGGCUCUCAUGAUCUUCUCUUUGGUGGUGUAAUAGUGCAGUUUUGCAAUGGUGUCUCUCGGGGCUGACGCAGGGAGGAAUCUUGGCUUUGGUAAGCGGUGUAUGCGGUCUAUGAGGAAGUCCUGUUGUGAGAGGUCAGGGACCAGAUGUUGGAAAAAGCACAUGGCGUACGCCUGGAGGUCUUGGGGUAAUAUUUCUUCUG